rnacentral:lncRNA from 1 species
AUUAAGCUUUGCUUGAGAGUUACAUUUUUUUAAAGGGGACAAUAAAUUAAUAAGAAAACCCCGUGUGUUGCAUCCAGUCUUCCAAAUGAGAAUGCAGUGGGGCUGCACAUCUUUGUUUCCUCCUCAUUGAUCUCCAUAAUUUCUAUGCUAAUGAUUGGUGACCCAUGAAGGAUGACAUGUUUUGGUGAAUUGUUUUGAACUGAGCACUUACUAAACUAAUACUUUUGCUCAGUGGUUAGGUAUGUCUUAUUCUGCUUGAAAUGGAAGAAGUUAAUUCAGAUAACUUUUUCUAUGGAUGUGUGAUCCUCUUUCUUUACUUACCCAAAUGAGGCUGCUGUGCAGCUAAUUCAGUUUCACUGCAAUCCUUUUGAAAUAGGCAUCCUUAAUAAGUGGUUUGUCUAAGGACUGCCAUUAAUGUAGCCUCAUUGUGCUGUUUAGAUGACACUUUACUUAAAGUAGGCUGUAGUCCUGUCUGGGCUUUGGGAGUUCGGCAUUGAGACUUGGGGCUGUAAAAUUGCAACUGAUCCAAGGAAGGCAAGGCUCUCAUUUACUCCUGGGUCAUAUUUAGUAAGAGGAGAUGCUAGCUGUUCAGUUUCUUCCUACUGCCAUGGCUUCCCGGAGUUAGAACCUGGUAGGAAUCCCAGGAAAGCAGUGAUAUAUUAAUAAAUCCAAUUACCACCACCAACAGUUCUUGUUUUUAGAGUUACUACUCUUUAGGCUUUCAGAACUUCUUUCCCUC